UGUGAGGUCCAGGCAUCUUGCACCACGAGACCAGGGCAACACCCCAAGGGACUGCGACCUCACCAUGUUUCACAGCCCACCCCUGCCAUCCCCCACCUCUCCCAAGGUGGUGAGGGGCAUGUUCAAACCCCUGCCUUCCUCCCCACCUGCCUGUUGCCAGCCAGGCCAGUUUCUGGGGGGUGGGCAGGGGGCCAUGGCGCCAUCCAAGUACGGGCCAGCGUUCCCAGGCAGGGGAAGGAGAGGAGGGCUUUGCUCCUGGAAUGGAGGGCCCUUCACCAGCAGGACUGCCCACCCGAGUAAGAGCGGGCCGGAUGCUGAUAAAGUCUUGUGGACUGUUGAGGGAACUGCUUCCUAGAGAAAAAUCCAGAUUUCCUCUCCCCAGUUUCCCAGGAUGUGGUAAGCCCAGCCUCCUGGGAUGGCAGGGCAGGCUUCCAGAAACUUCCAACCCAACCGCACAAAAACCAAGAGACUGGAGCAAAACCCAACCCCCAAGGAAUUCUGAGGAUUCUCUGAAAACUGGAGAGGAAGUGGUGCCCACGCUAAUGUGCUCAGAGGCCCUUUUCUCUUGGCUCUUCUACCGAAAUAAAAAUGGCCACUUCUUAAUUUCAGAAUAUUUUGCAGCUGAAAUUAUCUUCAAAAGGCGUCAACCUCUGUCUGCUCUGUAUUUAAGACAGCAGAACAACAGGAAACAAAAAUGCCUCCUCUUCUGUUGACUCUAGGCCAGAAACCGACCUCUGUACCCUCUCAGGAAGACCUGGAUUUUGAAAGCUGGCAUCUGGAGUUUUUAUCUCAAGAACAAUCCUCUCCACUCAAUAAUAGGAAAGAAACAGCAAAGGGUUAAAAAAAAUUUUUUUUUUUAACAUCAAAAUCGGGUUUGGUUCUCCAGAAAAGGCCAGAAGAGCUGAAGCUAAUUCACAUGUUACUCAAGCAACCAACCCCAAGAGAAACCAAGUUUCCUGGAAGAACAAAAGUCAAAGGCAGGAGCUGUUCAAAAGCAAGCUCAAAGUGAAACCAGAUUACGUGGGGGCCACAAGGCGGCCUUUAAGCUGAACCUCAAAAAUAGCAUCUGUCCCCUGGAUAUUUUGGGAGUAUCCUGGGCAAAGCACGGGAGGAGCCAGGGGCCUCUUUGGAUAUCUCCAAGGACGUACUUAAAGAAUGUGUCACCCGGCCUCCCCUUGACCCCGGGCCCCACCCAGGCCCCAGAGCUGUGUCAGCAGCAGCAUAAAUGGUACAGAGAUAAAGAGAGAUAUUUAAACACCCAGAAAUCAUCUUCUAAUUUAGGAACUGAGCUACAAAAUCUAUCUCCCUUAAUGGCUUGAGUUGGGAAUUUGGAUUUUGAACCUCUUCUGCCAGGCAGCCAAAACAUCUUCAUGUAUUAAUAGACAGCAAGCGUGAGGCUGGCUGCAGGGACAGAAGGGCUGUGGGUCUUAGAUCGUCUGGACUUGGAAGAUGCAAGAGCAGCAGAGCCCUUCCCGGGCCUCUUUGUUUACGCUGUGCUUCCGCCCAGGCUCGUAAUCACCUCAUCAUUGCCGGCUCCUGUCGCCGUGAUUAUUAAGUACUUUAAGACUUGCACAAGAAGGGUGCAAUCCUUUAAUUACAUCCCUCCCUGCAUCAUUGUCCGGGGCAAGUUGGAGUUGUUCUCUCUGUUUUGCACAAAAGAAAAUGAAGGCCUGGGCGAGUGAACAAGUUCAGGGUCAAACAUCUGUCAGAAUCAGGCAGGCACUGAUUCCAGCCCAGUUUAAAGUGCUGGCGGGUCGAAGUUCAAGAUGUGUGCUUUAUUCCCCAAGAAGCAGUAGAGGGGUGUGUGUGUGUGUGUGUGUGUGUGUGUGGUUUCUGCACGUGUGUCCAUGUUCUGGGAUGUCUGUGUGUGGUGUUUUGUGAGUUGGUCCAUGUGUAUUUCUGUGUGUUUGUCUAUGUGCUUCUUGUGUGUUUCCAUGUAUGUCUGUGUGUCUGUCUAUGUAAAAGGAAGGGCAGAGGGAGAAGAGGGAGGAUGAUCAGGAGGUAAGGAGGAGAAUCCGUUAAUAAAGCUUAGAACUUAGAACAGCAAAGCUAGAAGGCCCUUAAAAAUCAUCUGGUCUACACUGACAUCUCAUUGUUAAUUUUGGUCUGUGUCCUAAUAGCAUGGUGAUUUCAUUUCAAAAGUGUGAUCAUUAAAUAUUUACUGGUAAAAUGACAAGAACCCUGCAAUUUGCUUUAAGACACUUGAGCAGAGAAAGAACAAGUUGAGGAGAGAGAAUAAAAAUGAGGAGCACCUGGCUGGAUCAGUCGGAAGAGAGUUUGAUCACGACGAUCUCGGGGUCGUGAGUUCGAGCCCCAGGUUGAGUGUAGAGAUUGGCAAAAUGGGGAUAAUUGUUGAAGAUGAAUACUGAGAUGUUAGUUACAUGAUUCUAUUUUUGUAUGUUUGAUAUUUUCCAUAAUACAUUUUUAAGUCACUGCAAACUAUUAUCCUGGUAAAUAUCACUUGUAAAAAUCUUUAUAAAAAUUGAACUCACUGCUGAUACCUACAAAUGCGGGCUUGCACCUAAAAAUCUGGACGUCCAGCUUUUCUAGAAAAAAAUCAGAAGCUCUAGUGACUCUGGUCCCAGACUCCCUUUCAAUAACAAAGCUGCCAAACAGCCCCUUUAGUUGGGACCUUUAUUCUCAGUCUGCCCCAGUCCCCACCCACCUCUAUCACCUCUGACACCAAUGUUGUUCAUCUUAGGUCCCCAUAUCUCUUUUAGUAGAAAAGAGAGGAAAGUGAACAAGUUCUUUUGGAGCAAAGACCGUGAUUUGCCAUCUAAGUAACUAAUCUCCACUCCUUUCUUACUAGUAGAAACUCCUGCACUACUGGGGGUGGCGAUAUAUUCAAAAAUCACCUUUUCCAGCUUCUCUGGAAUCUGUGAGUGCCCUAAGGCUUCACAUUUAGGGAUGAUUUGGGAUUGUCACAGCUGGGGAGGGGGAGUGCUACUGACAUCUAGUGGGUAGAGGGAGGGAUGCUGCUACACAUCCCACAAGACUUGGGACAGUCUCCCACAAGGGAUAAUUAUUCAGUCCAGAAUGUCUGUCUGUCCAUAGGGCUGCAGUUGAGUGGUCCUGUGUGUUGCAAAUUGAAGUUGAUGGUGCGACUUUCAAGAAAGACCUUUGGUGUCUUUCCAUUCUCCUUCAUUUUCCCUAUAAUUGCAAACAUGGCUGGAGCUCAAGUAGCCAUUUUGUGACCUCAAGGAGGGCAAGUCUGUGCUAAAGAUGGAAGGGAACGAAAUCCCCGACAACAUCAUAGAGCUACCCUCCCUUCCGCCUUAGAAUGCUGACCUCCAGCCUGGUUUUAUAGAAGAGAAACGCAUCUCUACUUUGCUUAAGCCACUGGAGUCAAGUCUCUGUUACUGUCCGUCAAGGGCAGUAUCUAAAUGAGUUAUCUCUGUGUCCGGUUUUCUAUGCUAGCAGGUAAAGGCAAGAUGGACAAGAGGGUCAAAUGUUGAAUGUAAAAAAGGUGAAAGCAUGUUUCUUUGUGGCAAUCACCCGGCCCACUUCCCUGCUGCUGUCACUUUUUGACCCCUGCAGGCAUCUGGGUUUGCAGCUCCCAGACCACUGAAGCCCUUCACCAAAAAUAUGAGCAACAGAAACCCAUAGCAGGUUCAUGAUAACCUUGAGGGCUAAUUCCCAGCCCAAUUCUUGUCCUUGUCACAUUUCCAAGAAACCAGGUCUCGGGAAGUAAUAAGGAAUGUGGUUUCUGGAGCCAGGCUGCCUUGGUUCAAACACUGGUGCCACCAUUGCCUGACUCUGUGACUUAGACAGUUCAUUUAGCCUCUGUCCCUCAAUGUCUCAUCUGUAACAUCAGGAUGAUGGUAAAGGCAUCUGUUGCUUGGGGUUGUUAAGAGGACUCACAUCAACCAGGGCCCCCCAGGAGCAUAAGUUUAGGAACAAGCUUAUAAAAGUAUGGCUAGGCUGUAGGGAACCCACAGGGAUGCCUCCAUACCCCCAAGGCAAGUAGCGAGGGUGUAUUACCACCGCGUAGUAAUUGGGGGCACUUCAGCCCCUAGAUAGAAGCAGUGGAGAUGUUCUCACUUGGGCCCAAAGUGGCAAAGAAGGAAAUGGUUGCCAGAUUUGGAGAGAAGAAACACUAUGGAAAGGCACUCUGAAGGAUCUGUGACCUUCAGUUGGGGGACAUAGUAGCCCCUGGUGCCCAACAGGACAGCUGAGGAAUAACUUUGCUUCCUUCUUCCUGUUUCCUGCCAAUGUCUCUCAUGGGUCAAACCCAGCCAGAAGCCAGCAGGCAGGAGAGCACUUUGAUGCUGUCCACACAGGUCACAAAACAGAGUGGACAGGUUGGAGGAGGAGGCUGGAAACCAGGGCUUGCAUCCCCUACUCAGUGACUGUAGGCUUCUGGGUUGUGCAAUUGGAAGGCACAGAAGUGUCCUCUCCCUCUCCCUCUCUCACACAUAAGAAGGAGUAUGGAUAGGAUGGCAGGAGCUCCAGCAGCCCUUUCAGACCACAUAGUGGAAGUCACAUGUUGAGGCUGCUAAGCAACGAUCUGGGAAGAAUCUGAAUCCCAGACAACAUAGUACCAUCACAGCCCACCAGACAUUAAGCUUUGAACUGUUCCAUGAGAGAGGAUUAAACUUUUAUUUUGUUCAAGCCCCUUAUUUUGGUUUUUAUUACAGCAACUGAACUAAAAACCUGAGCAGUACAAGAUUUAAAUCAGGGAUUUGUUCAGAUUUUGGAACUAUUUUAGGCUGAGCUUUUUAAAACAAGCACAAGUGAUGGGAAAGUUACAGCCUCUGCUCAAAAAUACCCUGAAGGAGUCUGGGUGGCUCAGCUGCUUGAGCAUCAGGCUCUUGAUCUCCGCUCAGGUCACCAUCUCAGGGUCGUGGGUUCAGGCCCCACGCUGGGUGUGGAGCCUACUUAAAAAUAAAUAAAAUAAAAUACUGUUAAGAAAUCGGCUCUCCUGGGAGAUGCAACAUAACACAGCAGGGGGCAGUGUUUCGUGAAGGAAAAAAGUUCUUCUGAAAUUGAGAUGUUCAGUAAGUCAAGGUCACUUGUCAGCAGGCCAACCACUCCAAACUUACCAAGGGAGCAAGAGGGAGCUGCCUCCUGAGAGCUACCAAACCAGCUCUGGGACUAGCUCGGAUUGCAGGUAUGUACUGCGGGCCCCGCCCAGAACCAAUCGCGAUGGCUAUGGUACUUCAGCUGCUCUGAUUGGCUGGUGCUAAUCACAUGAGCGCUGUGGGGCGGGGCAUCGCUGCCACCUCCUGGACCAGGAAAAUCUGGGGAUCCAGUGGUUGCACCCUGGGGACGUGGAGUGCUUGGCACAGAAGGGAACGCAGUAGAUGCAGGAGAGCCCCAACUAGCAAACAUUCUUUAUACCAAUAGGAAAGAAGGAAAAUUUAGAAAAUAACAUAAAGCGUCAUGGUCUGGGGUAGUUGCUGAGGGAUUUCCCAUCAACCACUCUGCAAGUUUGUUUUGUUUUGUUUUGUUUUGUUUUCCAAAUGAAAGUAUUGAGCCUCCCCGGCCAGCAUUCGAAUGUGUGUGACUGUCCGCAGAAAGGAACGAAAUAAAUAGUUGCAAGAGACGCCCUGGGCUUAAGACCCAAGGGGCAUUUCCAAGGAUACCAACAGAGCAUCCUCUGUGUUUCCGUAACUUUGUGAAAUGCAACAAAGGAAUUCACAGGAAAUACAGGGGGCGGUUAUAUACCCAAGGGUAUGGCGCAAGACUUGUUAAUGCGACGGGAAAGAUGAGGUCCCGCCAGCCAGGGAAUAAGAGUCACCAGGUUCGACUCCAAGUGGAGUUACCGCAAGAGUGCUGUUUCCUCCAGGAGCGCCUUGCCCCAUCCGAUUCUUUGGGGGAGACUGAAAGCAAGACUACGGUGGGAUCGAAUCGAUAUCUUAGUUUGGAAACCCCCAGUAGCAGAGCUUCUAUCUUGGUUGGGGUUUCCCCAGAGGCGGACCCUGAGACAAAGAUUCCGGGACAAAUAAUUUAUCUGGAAGGCCAAAGACACACCAAUAGAGAAGAGGAAAGUGAGCCAGGGAAGGCAGGGCAACUGAAAUCAAGCAAAUUAUCAAGACCAUACUGUGGGCAGCUGGGGGUUAUUCCCAUCAGUGUAGAACAUUGCCCCAGAGUUAUCCUGUUUGAGCGACUGGGGAACUGGGGGAGCCCUACAACACCUCCUGUGCGCUGCGUGAUGUGGGGUUGGCGUAGGGGGGAGGGAAGCAUGAAUUAUCCAGCACUUCUAACCUGCUUGCCUCCAACAACCAGAGGGGAAACUAAGUCAACUCACAUAGACUAAUGCAGAUGUCAGCAACUGGAAGGUGGGCAGAUGGAAGUUGGGCAAAUGGUAGAACCUAAGGACUGCAGACAGCAGCCACUACUCCCCAGAAGCCAGUGUGUGUAUACAGGAGACAAUCUCAGGAAGAACAAAGAGGGUGGGGAAGUGAGAUGGGGAUGGGAGGACCCCCACUAAAGAGCAUGGCAGUGAGCUCGUUCCUUCAGCCCAGUCCCAGUGGGGACGUCUGGGAAAUGAGGCGAGUACCCUUCAGAACCAUCUCAUGCAGGAGCAAGGAGGCAGGACACUUAUGAACAAUGGCCAUCUCUCAAUGGUGGAAGGUUGUGGCUGGUGUCAUCAACUCUCAGGCCCUUCCCCCAUGAGCUUCUGGGUGCGCCCCAGCAUACAGACCCUAGGCAGUGUUGCAGAUGUCGGACGUGGGAAGCCACAGGCAUCUAGAGAACAAUCUACCAAUCCACAGGCCGUCCUCCAUGGUGGGCUGAAGGGGACGACAUUGGAUCCCAAUGCUGGCCAGGAAACUCAGGCCAAGGGGGAAAAUGGGGGAAAGGUACAAAACCGACACUUACAAAGCACAGGGCCCUUGUCAUCCAUUAGCACAGUCAGUCACAUUUGUAUAUUUCCCGUUUCACAGAUGAGAAAAUGGGUUCAGACAGGGAAGGAGACUGGCUCUUGGUAGCCUGGGGGGUAAGUGGCAGAGCGCUAAAAUUCCAGCUCACGCGUGCAUCUGGCCCACCUGAACCCCACGCGAAUUGUGUCUUUUUGGUGCCAAUAACAAUAAAGACUAGUGAGUCAGCGACCCUUGUAAUUUCAAAACUGCCAUUUUCAUCUUAUGGCUAGUGGGGACUUCCACAACGGUCACGGUUUCAAUCCUGGAACAAACAACUAAUAAAAGAUGGCAAUGUGGCAGAGGCAUAGACCAAUGUCUGUAUGUUUACACAAGUCCACAUAAAUCCUAUACCAAUGGUAUUUGUAAGCAUGGCAGGGCCAACAUAUGCCCCUGGCCUUACCGUGUAAUAGCUGUGGGGCCUGAGGAAGCCCCUUCAUCUCAAUUCUAAAAGGGAGAUGGUAACAGGACUCGCCUCACAGGGUGGUGGGGAGAAUUCCAUAAGACACUGCAUGUAAGACGCUCAGGACAGCAAGGACAUCGUUCCAUACGGCUGCUGCAACAAGUUUGUACAGCUUUAGCAACUUACAGCAACACAGAAUUAUUAUCAUUAUUAUCGUAGAGUUCUGGAUGUCGGAGUCCAAAAUAUGGGUCUUCGGGAGCUAAAAUCCAGGUGUUGGCAGAACGGCAUCCUUCUAGAGGCUCUCAGGGAGAAUCUAUUUCCUUUCCUUUGCCAGCUACUACAGACCAGCUGAAUCCCUUUGGCUCAUGGCACAUCCUUCAUCUUCAAAGCCAACAGCACAGCAUCUUCUGAUCUAGUAUUAGUGAAUAUUAAAAUUGAAAAAUCUUAAUAAUAUAUGUAUUUAUUUUA